AUACGUAGGGGGCGAGCGUUGUCCGGAAUGAUUGGGCGUAAAGGGCGCGUAGGCGGCCCGGUAAGUCUGGAGUGAAAGUCCUGUUUUUAAGAUGGGAAUUGCUUUGGAUACUGUCGGGCUUGAGUGCAGGAGAGGUAAGUGGAAUUCCCAGUGUAGCGGUGAAAUGCGUAGAGAUUGGGAGGAACACCAGUGGCGAAGGCGGCUUACUGGACUGUAACUGACGCUGAGGCGCGAAAGUGUGGGGAGCAAACAGGAUUAGAUACCCUGGUAGUCCACACGGUAAACGAUGAAUGCUAGGUGUAGGGGGUAUCGACCCCUUCUGUGCCGCAGUCAACACAAUAAGCAUUCCGCCUGGGGAGUACGGCCGCAAGGUUGAAACUCAAAUGAAUUGACGGGG
rnacentral:rRNA from 1 species